UUUGGUUCACAGCCUUCAUUGCAUUACCUACUGGGGCAAACAAAGUAAAACCGGAUAAAGCUGAAGGUUCAAACAAGUGGUGGAAGGAGUAUGGAAAUUAAUCUUGUGGAAGUGGUUCUCUGUGUGAGAAACAUCGGCCUGACCACCUGACUUUCUGAUCACAUUCCACUGGGAAAAAGUCCAAGGAACAUCCCUAUCACAUUCUGCUGGAACAAGGACCAAGUCACCUCAUCAUGGGAACAUCUUAUCAAUAGCCUGUUGGGCAGCAAGCCAUACUGCCCAGACCCCUCCCUCCCAUACCUGCAAAGGCCCAACUAAAGAAACCUCCCUAUCCUGUCUUACUGGGCAAAGGCCCAAGGAACACCAUGAUGACAUCCCACCAGAAAAAGGGUCAAACCACCCUAUCAUGGGUACAUCUUAUUGAUAUCCUGCCGGGCAGCAAGCCACACUAUCCAGACUUCUCCCAGCC